AGAAGAUGCUGGAGAGAAACAGUAUGUAAAAUGAAAGGAUAGGCUUACAGAGAUACAAUGUGUUUGGAAAUACAUAGAAAAGAGAUGCAGAUUGUAUGGAGCACUUUGUAACAGGAAUUGGGGGUUAUAGUAAACAGGAAUAUGGGAAUAAAUUCUGACCGCUGUAACUCUCUGGUCCAUAUAGAUGAGCAUAUACACCAUGUUCUCAUUAU